rnacentral:lncRNA from 1 species
CCCCCCCCCCCCCCCCCCCCCCCCCCCCCCCCCCCCCCCCCCCCCCCCCCCCCCCCCCCCCCCCCCCCCCCCCCCCCCCCCCCCCCCCCCCCCCUUUUUUUUUUUUUUUUUUUUUUUAGUUUAACCAUUCCGGUGCACUGAACAACUUCUGCGCUGCUGUGAGCUUGACUCCUAGCCUCAAGAUCUCACCCUCCCUAGUGUUGUCUGGAUAUCAAUUUUUUCAACCCCCAGUCCUUCCUCACAGAAUUGUCUGCCAUCCUUACAAGAGCUUGAUCAAUUCUAGCUGGAAGAAAGCCUUCACCAAACAGCAACAAGAACUGG